UAUAUAUAUAUGACAUAUAUAAAUAUAUAGUCAUUGAGAAACAGCAUACAAAUGUAAAUCAGAAUUUUAAAGCUUAGUUAUAGCAGUUAUUCAAUUUUUAGAAACUCUCAAAGUUCAUUACAUGCCCAAAAUCACUGUAAUCUAUUGUCAAAAUUAUUUGUGAUCUAUCAGCUAAUAGGUCCUUCUUCAUAAUUGUUGAAAACAAACAAUUUGAAACAAUUUGACUCAUAUACAGAUUUGUUACUCAGCUGUUACAGUAAUUCAUUUUGUCAGUUUCUGAGAAGUAUGCCAGAAAAUGAUUACUUACUCAAAGAGUAUGACAAUAUCUAAAGUUCUUAUUGUGUAUAUUGUCAAAUAGCUUCUUAGGAAAUACUUCUAUCAAUGGCAGUCAAGUGAUAAUGUCUUCUCACUAUUACUAUUUUCUCUUAACAUUCAUUAAUUUGAUGGGUGAAGAAAUUACAUUUCACUGCUUUAAUUUGCAUUUUGUGGGUAAUUAUGCCCCUAAUUAUAUUUCAUAUGUUUAUUAGUGAAUUCAUAAAACCAGAAAAGGAAUCUCUAUAGUCUAUAUUGUGUUCAUAUUUGUUCAUAUUUGUGUAUUGAAUGAGUAUAAAUGUAUAGCAAAUAUUUAAUAUAAAUGUUAUAAAAGAGCACCUGGCCCAUAGUUAGUCACACAAAUGUCAUUCAGCAAUGGCAUCAUCAUCAUCAUCAGUGGAAAAUGUUUUUCUUAGUUUUUAAAUAAUUUGAUUUUUUUAAAUAUGAAACUUGAUUUUUUUCCAUAUUUUUUAUUUAGGUAUUCCAGAGUUCUUGUGAACUGGGAGACCAUUAUUUAAUAAAGAAGGCUUGUGUUUAGAAUAAUACUGAUUCUCAUCAUCUCCUUUAAUUUGUUGACUUAAGUGUAGGAGUUGCUAGAGAAAAGGGACUUCAGUCAUUUUUCAUUCAAUUUGAGGUUUCCUGACUCUCAGUUGUUUUGUACAAAGUUAGACAGUAUUUAAAACGGGGCAUCCUAUAUCAAAAUAUAUAUAAGUAAGCUCAUUCAUAGGAGUGAAACUCAAAGUUUAAUCACUGGUGUGGCGCGGGCACUGACCCAUCGGAAUGGACGUGGUAUUUCACUGUGGACCUGGUUUGCACUGGUCCAGUUUAUAGCAAAUGGAAAUUAUGGUAAAUAAGGGUUAAGAGGCAUUUGAGUAUUGGGAAACUGGCAUAUAUAUUUGAGAUGUAAAAGUGGUUUCUCAAACUUUUAUACCAACAUGUGUUUAAGUACAAGGUAUAUCUAAGUGCAAUUUUUAUGGAAUUGUCAGUCAUUGGGUUAGGGAACAUAUGGAGGCAAUAAUAAAGAUUAAGGAAAAUGAGCUUUUCUAGGUAGAGAAGUACAAUGACUAAGAUUCCAGAGGUACGUGGUUAGUGAAUAAAAAUAUAACAAAACAAAUAAACAAACACCAAAUGAACUUUCACUCCCAGGACACAGAUGAUUGUUUAGGAAUGAGGAUCCUUUGGCAUCUGAUCUCACACUGUAAGAACUUGCAAAUCUCCGGGUGGAUGCAAAGGUAGCAGAUGACCUCCAAGGAUGGUAAGUACAAAAACAAAGAUUUGGAAGAAACGUUAAUUCAAAUUUAAAAUGUAAAGUGUAUUAUUCUGGGUUUGAACCUAAAGUAGAAACUUGGCGGACACUGUGUAGAUUGUUCCAUGGAGACAAAGACCCAGUGACCUGUUGUGGCCAAAAAACACUGAGGAGCUAGGCUUAUCAAAAAAAGUAAAAAACAAAACAAAAAAACAAAAACAAAAAACAUGAGGUACCUGGGUGGCUCAGUUGGUUAAUCUUCCAACUUUAGCUCUGGUCAUGAUCUCAUGGUUCAUGGGUUCGAGCUCCACAUCGGACUCUGUGCUGAUAGCUCAGAGCCUGGAGUCUGCUUCAGAUUCUGUGUCUCCCUCUCUUUCUCUCUGUCCCUCCCCCACUCAUGCUCUAUCUCUUUCUCCUUCUCUAAAGUGAAUAAACAUCAAAAAUCUUUGAAAAAAAUGCAAAAUACAAAAAAACCCAGCAGAGACCAUAUUCCACGGAACUAUGGUAAACGAACUCCUAUGUGAAGUCUGGGUACAGCAGUACCAUUAUUUGUGCUUUGUAAAUUGUACACAUUGUGUAGUGAAUAUUAGCUAUGAUGAUGGCAGUGGUGAUGAUGUCAUUUUGAUGUAACCAGAGCAGGUCUACACUAGGGCUUGUAGUGACAGCAUCCUCCAUGGAAAAGAUCAUGAUUCUCCAGCUCCAGGGUGUGAAGACCAAGGGGUGAAAGCAUUACAAAUCGUUAAGUUGUGUGAACUGUGGGUUGGUGAACGGGAAGUGAGCAUUAAGCUAAGUGUUAAAGUAGAUAAGGCAUCCCGGAAUGAGAUUGUCAGCACAUUAGAGCAGAGGCGUUUUUCUCUCGUCUGGUGUCUGCAGUGUUUAAUGCAUUAAUUGGCAAAUGGUAGGUGCUCAGUGAAUGUUUGUGUCUCAUAAGCACCUAGAGCUUAUGCAUGUGUAAUAUAGGUAGGAUUCUGAAAAGAAUUCAAAGAAGACUGGCAGGUUUAGUCACAACAGAGGCUUAAUUAGCCUAAGGAAGCUGGUAUCUUUGUCUUAUUUAAAGCUGUCAUCAGGGAAGAUGUCCCUGUCACCCUAUUAGGCAUUUGGCAGGACUCUGGGUCAGGUGAUGGGAGGCAUUGUCCUCAAGUGGCCAUUUUGCUAUUAAAUUCAUUUAUUGUUUUUGCCCUUAGGUAUAGGCAAUGUACUCAAAUAUCAAUAAGAUACAGACUGUUCCCGAAACAAAUAAUAAUGCUGUUAUUAGCAUUUAUUGGGUACUUACUUUGUACCAGGCAAUGUGUCAUGUGUUUUGUAUACAUUGCCGUUUAAUUUUCACACUACAUCUAAGAAGAUGAUAUUUUUAUCUCCUGUUUUGCCAGUGAGGAACCUUCUCCAACAAAGCUAAGUGGCCGCAUCAGGAUUCAACUGACGGCAAAGCACAUACCAUUCACAAUGGGCCAUAAUGUCAACAACGUAAUCCAGGAAGUAAAACCAAAGUGCUCAAGUAGUGGGUGACUUGAGAGGAUAAAGAAGAGGCAUCCUCUUGAGUUGGUGUAUGGGAGGCCAAGAGUGUCACGCUCAGUACCUCCAAGGGCCUGGAGCUCUGCAGAUGAGUGAUUGCUCGUGGCUAGCUGUCAUUCUGCAUUUAUGAGUUGAUAUGUCAACUGGGACUGAUUCGAGCAUAGAGCACUGCUGAUCUUUUUUAAGGUAAUAAUGCUAUGAUUUCAAAAGGCCUGGCCAGGAUUUAAAGAGACUCAAAAUACCUCACACCACGGUGCCGUGACAAAUAUGCCAAUAUCCUCAUAUGUUUCCUGGUAAGGAAUCAGCACCAACCAGGGAAGCCCCGCUCUGAACAUCUCCAACUAGGUUCAUCUUAUCGCGUUUACUAAGAUCUGUGUCUUUUAAGCUUACCAUAGCACAAUAUCACUUAAAAUCUAUGAAUCUGAGCAUGUAUCCUGACCAGUUCCCCAAGUGCAGUCUUGAAGGCUGUGUCUGAUUUGUUUCCCAACAGGUAGAUCUUAGAAACAGGGCAUUCCACCCUGAGGAAAUCACGAGAAACCCCAGAGAAAGGAGGUGGAAGGAAUGGCAAAACGUGAUGCAGUUGUGUGCAGGGAAGAGGAGAGAAAGAGAGGGGAAAGCCGGAAGUCCCAGGGGCGAUUUUGUUUCCCCUUGUUUCGCUGUUACUGAAAUCCGGGACCCAACAUUCUCUCUGAACUGGGAAUCAUCUCCUAUCUCCUUUAGCAAAAGGUAUGUACAGACAUGUCUUCUGGACCUAAUAAGAUUGUGCAGAGGCUAGCUACUGUCCCACUGUGCUUAUGUCACAAGGGUUUUUAAAUAGCUUGUGUCACGUGUAAUCGAUACCUUAUUUCCUUUCAAGCAGUAUCUGUAAUUUUGUGGUAGGAAUGGAUAGCUAGAGUCGGAUUCAGUGUCGCAGCGCUGGUAGCCAGCACAGCCUAUAUGCCCAACUUACUGCUUUAGAUGUGUUUUCGUUGGAUCAUCGCAACAGGCACAUGAGGUUGAUCAGAAUAUGAUCUUUGUUUUCAGAGAAGGAAUCUCAGAUCAGUGUAACAGCCAGCCACUGGCCCCUAGAUGACUGCACAUUCUCCCAAGUGGUCUUUUCACAUGUCCUCUUGCUCUCGCUUUCUUUUUCCACGUUAUUGCAAGAGUGAUAGGCUUUAAAAUGUAAAUCUCAUCAGGCCACUGCCCUGUGUAAGUCCCCUCAGUGGUUUCCAAUUUCCCUUGGAACCAGGUCCCGGAAUCCUUAACGUGGCUUAGGAGAGUUGUCAUCUCUCACCUCUGAUCAAAUUCUCAGCCUCCUAUCUUACGUCUUUACUCAAAACUUGGCUAACCCACUUCUGUUGGGUUUCUUUCUGAACUCCACUAUAUGCCUAUUCAAGUAGAAAUUGUAUUGUUUCUCUUUCAAGUUAUCUGGAAAAAAAGAAAGAGAGAGAGAGCAUGCGCCUGCCUAUCCCUUAUUGUGCCCGAUACACUGAUGCACUGGCAAAUAUACUAGUUUUAUCACAGCUCUUCAGCUUUUGCCCAGUUAUGCUGUGCUUCACAAACGAACCCAGAAAACCAUUUUCCACGUGUGGUAGGCUGAGGUAUGGCCUCCCAAAGAUGUUCACAUUGUAAUCCUCAGGACUUGUGAAUGUCACUUCAUACAGCGAAAACCCUUUGCAGAUGUGCUUAAAUUGAGAUGGGGAGAUUAUCCUGGAUUAUCUGGAUUGGCCUGAUGUAUCACAGGGUCUUUUGUAAGAGGCAGGAAAUGGAAGCAAGUGGUAGAUGUGACAACAGAAGCAAGAGGUUGGAGCGAGGACGAAGGGGCUAAGAGCCAAAGAAUACAGGCAACCUCUAGAAGCCAGAAAAGGCAAGGAAACUGCUUCUCCCUGAACCCUCCAGAAGGAACACAGCAGUGCUGGCACCUUGGUCUUAGACAUUUGAUCUCCAGUGCAGUAAGAGAAUAAAUUCGUGUUGUCUUGUGGUACUAAAUUUAUGGUAAUUUGUUGGAGUAGCAGUAGGAAACUAACACACCACACACACACACACAACUUUCCAGGGUCUUCCUAACUGAGAAACUGAAAGCAUUCAUCCAACAAAUAUCUACUAAGUACCAGACACUCUGCUUUGGAUGUUGCCCUCGUGGUCUUUAUAUAAUAAUAGAGGGAGACAGAAAACAAACAAUCCAUACCAUGUUGGAAUCAUAAGUGCUAUGUAUUUAGAGAAAGAAAAAGGAACAGGAGGAGAAUUGUAAUUGUAAAUGAGGUGGUCAGUGUGGGACUCAUUAAAGAAAUGAGUUAUGUGAAGAAGUUAGAUAUAGGGACAUAUGGAAGGGCAUUCUCCAGGCAGAUAGACAAAGGCCAGGACAAACACCAGGAAAAGGGAUAUGCCUGGCAUGCUUGUGGAAUGAUAAAAAGCCAGCGUGGCUGAGGCAAAGUGAGCCAGAGUGGAGUAGUAGGUUAAUGAGGUCAGAGAGAUAAUAAUAGUGCCGCCGGUUCAUAGAAGGUAUUUCUUUGGAUAAAGUGGGUUAGUACUGAAGCAUUUUGGACGGAGCCAUAAGAUGCACUAAAACAGGUUUUUGAAAGAAACACUCUGUGGCUGUUUUGAAAGUAAAUCAGAGUUGGGGGUGGGGGAUGGAGAUAACAAGGAUGAAAGCAGAGACACGAGGGGGAGGGUUAUGUUAAUAACCUGGGCAAGAGAUACUGUUGGCUGUGUUACCUGUGGGAUCACCGAGAAAUGGUAAGGUUCUAGAUGUACUUUCAAAGGUGGGGCCAAUAAGAUUUCCUGGCAGGAUGGAUAUGGAAAUGUAAUUCCAAUAUUUCUUGUCUAAUCAAAGGGGGAAUGGAAUACUAAUCCACUCUGGCUCACUUUGCCUCAGCCACACUGGCUUUUUAUUAUUCCACAAACAUGCCAGGCAUAUCCCUUCCCCAUUAGCAAGAAUGGGGAAACUGAAUGGGUGGGCCUGAAGGCAGAGAUCAGGAGUUCAGUUUGAGGCAGGCUAAGUUUGAGUCCAGUUAGACAUCCAAGUGGAGGUCAGGAGUGGCACUUGGAUGUUAAAUUCUGUCCUUCAAGAGAGGUGUGGACAGGGGAUAUUUAUUUGGGAAUUGACAGCAUGUAGAUGGCAUUUCAACGAUGAAGCGAAUGAGAGGCAAAGGUGAUGGAGGCAGGCUAGGGGAUGUGCAGAGGCUAGCCCAUGCAGAUUAGAGUACAAGAAAUGAGGGCUGGGGCACCUUGGCGGCUCAGUCAGUUGAGCGUCCGACUCGAUUUUCGCUCAGGUCGUGAUCUCAGGGUCAUGGGAUCAAGCCCCACGUUGGGCUCUGCAUUGAGUGUGGAGCCUGCUUAAGAUUCUCUCUCUCCUCCUCAGCCCCUCUCCCUUGCUCGUGCUCUCUUCUCUCUCUAAAAAAAUAAAAAAAAUAAAUAAGAAAUGAGAGGUGAUUGGGGAGUCUAAAUUAGAAAUGAUUGCAACUUGUGUAAGAAAAAAUAAUAUAGGUGACCUUAGAAAACUAGCUGUCUAUUUUUACAUACAGGGAGGUAUUAAUUUUCUGUAAAAAAACCCAUAUUUUUACAUCAAAUCUUCUGGUUCUUUUUCUAGUUAAGUCUAACCAAAUGCAGCGAGUCCACUUAAGUAUCAAUACUUGCAUUUAUUUUUCUUAUGCUUACAACAGUAAUAUCAUUUUCCAGAGCCCCAUAAAUCUCCAUACGUUAUCAUGAAAGAUAUCUCUUCCUUAAGAAAUGAAAAAUCAGGGACGCCUGGCUGGCUCAGUCAAUAGAGGAUGGGACUCUUGAUCUCGAGGUAUUGAGUUCAAGCCCCAUGUCGGCUGUAGAACGUAGUUUAAAAAAAAAAGUGAAAAAUCAGUAUGAUGUCUAGAAACAGGAAUGACUUUGUGGUUUGGGAAAUGGGAUUCCCAAAUGCAUGUGGUGUAGUCUCCCCUCUCAUCUGACAGGUUGGUCUGCUCUGCUCUUUUGCUGGAAUUGGAUGUUAGCACUUAUCAGGUGUUUGCUACUUUAUAUUUCUUGAAAUCCUUUCAUAUAUGAUCUCAUUUAUUCCUCACAAUAAUCUUAGGAAGCAGAUAAUGUUGUUCUCAUUUAUAGAUAAAGAACCUUAGGCCCAAAGAGGCAAAACGAUUUAUCCAAGGUCACUAGCAAAUUUUGGACUUGACUCAAACUUAGAACCACUAGUUCUUUUCCUACUUCAUUAAGAUGCAAGAGACUCUUUAUUUUGUAAGGUGUUUUUUUGUUUUGUUUUGGAAUGUCAGCUGAGGGUAAGAAGGAAGGUAAAGGCAUCGUUUGGGUUUGUUAGAAAUGGUCUACUAGCUAUUAAAAAGCUGUAUAAGGUUGUAUAAAGUCUAAAGAAGAUUAGCGUAUUACAAGUUUCUUAUAAGAAAUUACUCUUCUUAAUUCUUGCGUGCUUCUCUCUUUGCAAAGAUUACUCGACCUAUAGGACAUAAACGUUGCUUGAUUGUUCCAAAGCUGCCCUGAGAUUGGUCAUAAUCGGGAAGCAUCAUGUAAUGGCUAUUGAAGACUAGCUGUGUGCCCUGCCUCACUAAAAUGGGGCUUGCAAAUCAUCUCCAUUAUUCCAUUUUGGCUGAAAGUUCCUAUCACUCUUCUCUCCUAUGUUUUCUAAAGUUUGUACUAUGUAACUAUGGAUUCAAAAGCAGUAUCUUAGGAAUUCUUAGAUAGAUUUUGAGUACUGUGAGAAGGAGUGGUGAUAGACUUACAAGUGGGUGAUACCUUUAUUGUUAUAAACAAGUCGGCCUGGAGGUAGGCUUCUAACCUGAUUAUUUGCUGCACUGAUGAAAGUUUGGCUUGAUGAGAACAAAGAGAGGGACUGCCUUAGAGUACUGAAAGAAAGGGGAGGCUUUGGGGAACAAAAGGACAGGACAGAUACAGAGAGGCCUGGUGACUGGGAAUCCAAUAUGUGGAAAGCAUCAAAGAAUAACUCCAGAAGGAGGUGGGAAUAUGAAAAUGAUGCUUACUAAUAAGGUACACAUGUCAGUGGAGAUGAAAUACACACCCCAAAUGACAGCAUCUAGGUAUAUUUAGUUAAAUGCUUCCAUAUGAAAGAAAUAAGAUGUCAGAGUUUGGUGACAAUGUGAUUCAGGAAUGACCAUUAAAGAGAACAAUUUGGUAGAAGUGAGGUGGAGGAGGGAGGAGCUCAGAGAGAGUUAAGAUUGAGUGUUACCUGAUAACCUGUUCCAACUCCUACUCCUCCCCCGCCCCCCACACAAUGUCUAUAUGUUUUCAGAGAAUACCAUUGGUUUAGCAUAAUAAAUAUGCCAAAUCUAAAUAAAGUAGGAUAUUCCUGAAAGCAUUAAAUGGGCACUUUAUGGAGCCCAUUUACAGUCACCAAGGAGCCCACAUUGGUUUUAUUGUUUUUCCUAGGUUUAUCUAUGACUGAAAAUGAUAGAAAACUGAUAUUUACUUAGGUUAAGUUGGAAGGUAGUGGAAGAAGAUAAUAGUAGGCAAUUCACAUUUGUAUUAAAAGUUUAUUCUCUCGUAAGGAACAGGAAACCAACGUUUUAAGAAGCUUGAAAUCUAAUAUUUUGGGAGAACACUAAUUUAGGAAUUAGAAGACAGCUUAUUCCUGCUCAUUAGCUUGAUGAUAUUGAGCAAGUCAUUGGAUCUUAUUUUGUUCAUCUGUAAGAUGGGGCUAAUAACACUGUAUCAAUGAGUCCACCCACUCAACAGACAUUUCCUGGGCAACCACACUGUAUACCCAGGCCCUGUGCUAGCCUUUGAGGGUACAGAGUAGUCUCUGCCCACAAGGACUUCAGGGUUGACUGAAUGAUAGGAUUGUUGUAAGGAGUAACUAGGAUUAUGAGAUGCAUAUAACAACUGUAUACACAUGGUAAGGCACUAUAUAAAUGUAAGAUAGUAUUAUUUGUGUCAGAGAACAUUCAUUAAGCACUGAACGUGAUAGGCCUUGUACAGAACAUAGUAUUAAACCAUUGUAUGAGAGCUGUAGUCUUACUUUGCUCCUAGUUUUUCUUUCUGUUAAAUGUUUGCGUUUCUAAGCCUAACUUCCUUGAAAACAAAGACAUUCUAAGAAGCAAUUAGAAUUUCACACCCACACCAUGCCUUUUUAUUUAUUAGCUUUCUUUCUUUUUCUAUUGUUUUGAAAAUACUGAAGCCCAAGGAGAGACUCUGCCAGAAGGAAGUGCCAGGCAAGUGUUACAGCUGCCACAUACAGAAUGGCAGAAAUUCACAAGCAAAAUGCAACUGUGGGUAUAUUUUGAAGGUAGAACAAAUAGGAUUUUUCUGGUGGGUUCAAUACCAAGUGUGAGAGAUAUAAAAGAUUUAAGCGUGGUUCCAAAGAUUUUGGCUUGGGAAUCUAGGAGGAUAUGUUUGCCAUCAUUUAACACAGGGAAGCCUUCAAGGAGAGAAGGUGGGGAAUAGAGUGGUAGAGAUCAUAUGUUUCAGUUUGGAAUAAGCUAUAUUUGAGAUGUCUGUUAUCUUCCAAGUGGAGAUUAGUGAGGCCAUUAAGACACGUGAAUCUGAAAUUCAGGGGAGAGGUCUGGAUUGAAGGUGUAAAUUUGAGUCAUCAGCAUCUUUAUAGCCAUAUGAGUAUGGAUUGAAAAGCGAUUCCAGCCAGAAAUAGACCCAGAGCAUUCCAGCUUUUAAGAAGUCAAGGGAAAUGAAACCAAAAGAUAGGAAGGAAAUCCAGAGAAUGACACCCUAAAACCAUAUGGAAAAGUGUAACAACUGUGUUACCCUAUCAGAUGUAACCUAUCAAAUGUUGUUAACAAGGGGAGGACUGACAAUUGACUCUGAAUUUAGCAACAUGAAGAUCAUUGAUGAUCUUGACAACAGGGGAUUCCAUAGAAUGGCAGGGAGAAAAGCUGGAUUGAAGAGGGUUUAAGAAAGAUAAGAAGGAGGAGAAUUAGAGGAGAUAUGUGAAAACACUUUCAGGGAGCUUUGCUUAUAAAGAAGGUAAGAGAUAUGGGUGAUAGCUGACAAGAGGAGUGGGGCCAAGGGAAAGUCUCUCUCUCUCUCUCUCUCUCUCUCUCUCUCUCUCUCUUAAAUGGGAGAAGUAACAGAAAAGAAAUGGCCAAGUAAAGGGGAAGUUGAUGUUGCAGGUGUGUGUGGAGGGAUUAUUGGAGACAUAUUCUCUAGCAAUGAAUUGAAAAGUGUUACAGUCAUCAAAUGAGGAGGGCCUAAGACCCAGACAACUCUACUAUGUAAGCAAGCCAAAACCUAAGCCGGAGCCAGUUCCUGUAAAUGCCUCAGGGUUAAGAACAACCACUCACAAACAGCUAACUUCGCUUUCCCAAAUAACGCAGACACUUGUGCUAUAGUCAGCCAAAUAAUUUCCUUGCUUCGCCUGUGUUCUCUAUAAUAAAAUCCUUGCCUGUGGCUCUGCUUGGGAGUGCUCGUCCAUUUCCAGUGUGCCACUGUUCAAGUGGAGUUGAUGUUUGUUCAAAUAAACUCCUAAAAAUUUUAAUAUGCCUCAGCUCAUCUUCUAACAGAAAGAAUGGAUUGUAGUUCACAAAAUGGCUAGAUGGGAAGGAAUGGGAUGUAGUUCACAAAAUGAGGGAGUGGCUUUGGAGAGGUCCAUGGAUAUAUGUACAUGGAUAGAGAAGCAAGUGUUCCUUGGUAGUAGUAGGAGGGAAUUCAAUGGAUGUGAGUGCAGAUGCUGGCAAGUAGGUAGGUGGUGGUGGUAGUUCUUUGUCAUGAACUGAGAGAAGUUGGUAGGGUUAUUUUUCUGCAGCCAUGAAUAGCUGCAUGAGUACAGGGUUAAAUUAGGAAGUGAAGGAAGACUGAGAUUUCAGUAUAAUCAUAGUUUUGCCAAAGAAUACGACAAACACUAUAAACCCCCAAUUCCACUUCUAUGUAUAUACCCCAAAGAAUCGAAACAGAGUCUUGAAGGGAUAUUUGUACACCCAUGUUCACAGUGGCAUUAUUCACAAUAGUCGAAAGGUGGAAGCAACCCAAGUGUCCAUGGAUAGAUGAAUGGAUGAACCAAAUGUGGUACAUACAUGAAAUGGAAUAUUAUUCAGCCUUAAAAAUGGAGACUCUGACACAUACUACAACCUGGAUGAGCCUGAAGACACUGAGCCACGAGAAUAUGAGCACUAACUGAUUCCACCUGUAUGAGGUGGCUCUAAAAUAGAGAGCCCUAGAAUAGUCACAUGUAUAGAGACAAAGUAGAAUGGUAGUUGUCAGGGGCUGGGGAGAGAAGGAAAUGAGAAGUUAUUACUUAAGAGGCACCAAUACUAGGUCAGUUGGAACAGAGAACUGGCAAGCUGUGCUAUGAAGAACAGGGGACUUUUGAGAAAGCAGGGAGAAGAAACUACCACAGGAAGAAGUGCCCCUUUGAUGAGGGGCUGGAAUCUUUGUGAGGUUCUGCACCUGUUCACACAGCUUUCUCUUCUCCAUUCUGGUGGAAAUGGUUUCUACCGGGAGGACAACAGAAUGGCUGCUUUCUCUAACUCUCCCCGGCGGGGUGAGAGGAUUAGAUUAGCUAACUGAACAACCCUGUUCAAAGGGACUUGUAGAAAUGAAGUCUUGGGUAUAGGGAACCGGACGGUUAAUAGAAGGAGGAACCUAUCCCCAUCCAUGGAAAUAUGAGUCUGAAUGGGAUUAUUCAGAGGGCCCCAAAUGGGGGAAUAACCCAUCUGAAGUUGAUGAAGUGAAGUCACAUGAGGAACCAGGGCAGAACCUCAUCUCCUGUUGUCCUUUUUCAGAAAGAGCAGGUUUUUCUUAUUAUUUCCCCCAUAGCAGGCAACAGCAGCUCUUCUCUCCCAGGUCCCUAGUCUAAAAUUGGAGUAAUUUCCAUAUUGUUAUUCUUCGCUUUCAGUUACCAUCAUCCCCUCUGUGAGACUAUUUUAGUCCCUCUUCUGUUCCAGGGGCACUCACGUGUGUCUUAUAUAAGUGGUGCCUUUGGCAUUGGAUCAGGUGAGAUGCUUCCCUGUGGGUUCAUGGACAGACAGAGAAACAUAAAGAGCCUGAUGUGCCUGCGGUGAAUUUAACUGCAGGUCAACAAGAAUAUAGUGGACAAAAAAUAAAAUUUGAUUUCUAAGCACUGUUAAGGCCAAGCCUCAGUACAAUAUUUGUGUUGCAUUCAGGAACCAGAUUUUGUGCCAUCCUCUUGAAUGAAUUUCAAAUUUAAAAACACAGCUCUGCUCUGCACUUUUUGUGGCAUGCUUGUGAAACAGAGUCCAGUAGUGCCUUUCUAGUAUUGGACAGCAGUCCAUUGUUUACUUCAUAUUUAAUGCUUAGAUUUUAAUUUUUCAGAUGAAUCACUCUUUUUUAGCCAAGAUCAAAGUUACCCGACA